UGCUGUUCAUGAUGACUGUUUUAAAACAUUGGGAAUCUCUCUGAAUAAGACUGAAAGACCUCUUAAUAAACUGAAACAGUG